rnacentral:misc_RNA from 1 species
AAUUCUCAACUUCACCGAUUUACUUUGAGUGAAGCUUGGACUUUGGAGUGUGCUGGUCCCCUUGAUCGGCUCCUCUUUAAAUGCAGCAGCGGAGUCUUCUUUGACUUUUGCGGCGUCGGUGUGAUAAUCAUGUUGCGCCGUCGGCCCUGGGUCUCAGUCCGCUUACAAUCGUCUUCGGACAGCUUAUGAAAC